ensembl:processed_transcript RIKEN cDNA 1110038B12 gene
CUCUUUGUGCACCCGCCCACAUGGUUUGCGGUCUUUUUGCCCUUCGUUGCUCUCCACCGGUCUGGGCAGGGUCUGAGGACUCCGGAGAGCAAGGCAUGGUUCCGCCUCGUGCCGCAGGUUCCUGGCCCACGCCAGCCGUACCCAGUAGCACAAUGGGAUUUGAGGACACACGCCAGCUGCCUACACCUGAAGAAAGGUUAGUAUUAGGAUCCACUGGCAUGCUUCUCUCUUGGCUUGACUUUUUGGAAGGGGUGGAUUCGAGACAGGGUUUCUCCAUGUAGCCCUGAUCUCAGAUCCGCCUGCCUCUACUUUCUGGAAUUAAGUGCAUGCAGCACCACCGACUGGCCCUUGUUUUGUUCUUAAUAUCCUGCCUGCAUUAGCCAGUCUCCAAGCAAGCCACCACCCAGCCAUCUUUUUGUUUUUAGAUCUUAACUAAUCUCCCUAACUCUGAAUCUAUGGUGGAUCCAGGAGCUGCCUUGAUUAUUUCUUGUGCCUUUUUAAGUUCUGUGUGCUAGUCCACGGCAGUGGGUCUCAGCCUUCCUGAGGGCCUUUAAUGCAGUUCCUCGGGCUGUGAUGUUCCUAACCAUCGAUUUUAUUUUCUUUGCAUCUUCAUAACUAAAGUUUGCUAUUGUGAUAA